rnacentral:tRNA from 1 species
GGCGAGGUGGCCGAGUGGUCAAGGCGUUGGACAGCUAAUCCAAUGUGCUCUGCAUGCGUGAAUUCGAAUCCCAUCCUCGUCG